rnacentral:piRNA from 1 species
UAAAGGUGUAGCUCAGAGUAUCUGUUG